rnacentral:rRNA from 1 species
AAUCAACGCUGGCGGCGUGCCUCAGACAUGCAAGUCGAACGCGAAAGUCCCCUUCGGGGGACAAGUAGAGUGGCGCACGGGUGAGUAACACGUAGGUAAUCUACCUUUGGAUGGGGAAGUAACAACCGGGAAACGGUUGGCUAAUACCGCAUAAUGCAGCGGCACCUAAUGGUGACAGUUGGUUAAAGCGGGGGAUCGAAAGACCUCGCGUCUGAAGAGGAGCCUGCGGCGGAUUAGCAGGUUGGUAGGGUAACGGCUUACCAAGGCGACGAUCCGUAGCCGGCCUGAGAGGGCGGUCGGCCACACUGACACUGACAUACGGGUCAGA